GGCCUUAGUGAGUUAUCUGGAUGUGCUUGAAUUACAUAUGUAUUUGUCAAGUUGCUUAUGCUUAGAGGUGGCCAAGGGCAAUUAUGAUUCAUGGUUCCGGGGGACCAAAACCGGCCUUAAUGGAUUACCGUUUUUGAUCAAAACAAACAAUUGGAUCUUAUUUUUUUGUAAAAUUUUUUAUUUUUUUAAUGAAAUAUCCGAUUUGGCCCGGAAUUGAAUUGUCUGGUUCCGAUCCUAUUUCAGUUUGUUUCUACCAGUUUUGGUCAAUCCGGCUAGCUUUGAUCGAUUUUGAUCCCGUUCCCAUUCAUUCCAGUUUGAACUGGUCCAAUUCUGGCUUGGUUUCUAUUCUGAAUCUUCUUGUGGCUGGAUCUUCUCAUGCUUAUAAGUUCUGUCAGGCCAUUCAAAUCAUGCAGUCUGAUAUAGGAGAGUGUAUUUGGAUGUAACUUUGCAGCCCACUGCUCAGAAAAAAAACCUGCUGAUUCAUUGACUAGUUGUAACUUGUAACUACAAUAUCCUCCAAUUUACUGUAAUGUGGU
rnacentral:misc_RNA from 1 species